rnacentral:lncRNA from 1 species
GUGUCGGGAGAGCGGUGUUCAGCACGGCAGCUGCUACGGAGCAAGGCAGAGAGACAGGUGCUCAAGCGCCUAGCCAUGAUGCGGCACAGUUCCAGUCCCAAGGGAUCUGGCACGAAAAUGCCCCCAGUGGGGGCAGUGGGCACGGGGCAGCUGCAAUUCCCUUGAUUCUUGAAGGGCUGGCACAUGCAACAUCUCUCAUUCCCCCCCUCCCUUGGGUCAGUAGACGUGUAGGUUCGAGGACCAGAGGUUGAAUCUUCUUGCAGUCUUUCUUGUUGGUCAUGGGGUAGAUGCUGUUCAGGGGGUAGGGGACAGUCUCAGGCAGCUGGCUGAAGGAAGGCAGGCCUGCCAGCCAGCUUAGUGUCCUGGCCUAGUGUGCGGAGGCAGUGCAGGGGCUCUGUGGCUGGGUGCCUAUGACACUGGAUCCAGAAUCCAGGAUUGUUGCCCCGGGUGAGCAGCAGGUUCUGAGUCCAACAUGGUAAAUACCCACUCAGGGGUUGCAGCAUAAGGUGGUGGGGGUCUGGUGCAGUCCUGGGGAGAGUUGCCGUUACCUUGGAGACCAGCUAAAGGUGGCUUGAAAGUUCCCCCAGUGGGAGAGGCCGCGGUCAGUCCUGGGAGGGCAGCCACAGUUGCUGUAGGGAUUGUCCACUGGCUUCAACAGGGCCUCCACUCUGGGAGCCACCAGCUGCCACACUCUCCAGUCCUUUGCUCUCCUCCUCGGCUGGAAGCUGGGCGUCCACUCCCACUUCCAAUACUCGGAUGGUCUCGUGGCCUGACAUCACAAUGACCUGC